ACCACCAUAGCUCAUUUGGUUAGGGCAUGGUGCUGAUAAUGCCAAGGUUGCAAGUCUGAUCCCUGUACAGUGGUAAAGGUA